GGUUUCCAUACUACUGUUGCACCGUCCAUGUCGUCACUAAUAUUGGGAGGCCUGACGUCACGUUUGACCGAUCGUCUGGCGGGGGAAAAGGUUGAUCUCGUGAGACAAGCGUACUCCGGAGGCCCGGAUGUCCACUUUCCAUUGUUGGUCGUCUGCGUGAAUGUCUCUAGGAUCGGGGCCGAUGCGAAAGAAGCAUUGAAAGGAAUUCCUAAAGCUAAAGAUGUAGCCUUGUUGGUAUUUCACCACAAGGAGGCCCAUGCUCUCCCGAGUCAGACGAGCGACAAGAUCCUGACCGGAGCGGACUUCAGCGGCCUGGGUAGUAUCAUAGACCUCGCCUUCCUGUCCCAGAGAGGGAUCUACGAGUGUGACAUGAACAAUGUCGGCAUCGAACGCGUGGCUUCCUUUUUACUCCAGUACAAAACUCAGAGAAAAUAGUAUAGUGGUCUUUUAUAACGCAAUAAAUGGGCACGUGUAAUUGUAAAUUUGUAAAUACUAAUAUUACAUAUAUGAUAUUGAGCUAUAAAUAAAAGUUAUGAUGCAGAG
rnacentral:misc_RNA from 1 species